AAAAUAGGCCAUACCACCUUACCAAUUCCCAACCCCGUCUGAUCUCUGAAGUUAAGCAGGGUUGGGCCUGGUUAGUACUUGCUCUGAGUUGCCGAUGGCCCAGAUUGGCAGGCUCGUUUC
rnacentral:rRNA from 1 species